ACUAAGCGUACACGGUGGAUGCCCUGGCAGUCAGAGGCGAUGAAGGGCGUGCUAAUCUGCGAUAAGCGCCGGUAAGGUGAUAUGAACCGUUAUAACCGGCGAUACCCGAAUGGGGAAACCCAGUGUGACUCGUCACACUAUCAUUAACUGAAUCCAUAGGUUAAUGAGGCGAACCGGGGGAACUGAAACAUCUAAGUACCCCGAGGAAAAGAAAUCAACCGAGAUUCCCCCAGUAGCGGCGAGCGAACGGGGAGGAGCCCAGAGCCUGAAUCAGCAUGUGUGUUAGUGGAAGCGUCUGGAAAGGCGCGCGAUACAGGGUGACAGCCCCGUACACAAAAGCGCAUGUGCUGUGAGCUCGAUGAGUAGGGCGGGACACGUGGUAUCCUGUCUGAAUAUGGGGGGACCAUCCUCCAAGGCUAAAUACUCCUGACUGACCGAUAGUGAACCAGUACCGUGAGGGAAAGGCGAAAAGAACCCCGGCGAGGGGAGUGAAAAAGAACCUGAAACCGUGUACGUACAAGCAGUGGGAGCACAGGUUUACCUGUGUGACUGCGUACCUUUUGUAUAAUGGGUCAGCGACUUAUAUUCUGUAGCAAGGUUAACCGCAUAGGGGAGCCGGAGGGAAACCGAGUCUUAACCGGGCGUUAAGUUGCAGGGUAUAGACCCGAAACCCGGUGAUCUAGCCAUGGGCAGGUUGAAGGUUGGGUAACACUAACUGGAGGACCGAACCGACUAAUGUUGAAAAAUUAGCGGAUGACCUGUGGCUGGGGGUGAAAGGCCAAUCAAACCGGGAGAUAGCUGGUUCUCCCCGAAAGCUAUUUAGGUAGCGCCUCGUGAAUUCAUCUCCGGGGGUAGAGCACUGUUUCGGCUAGGGGGCCAUCCCGGCUUACCAACCCGAUGCAAACUGCGAAUACCGGAGAAUGUUAUCACGGGAGACACACGGCGGGUGCUAACGUCCGUCGUGAAGAGGGAAACAACCCAGACCGCCAGCUAAGGUCCCAAAGUCAUGGUUAAGUGGGAAACGAUGUGGGAAGGCCCAGACAGCCAGGAUGUUGGCUUAGAAGCAGCCAUCAUUUAAAGAAAGCGUAAUAGCUCACUGGUCGAGUCGGCCUGCGCGGAAGAUGUAACGGGGCUAAACCAUGCACCGAAGCUGCGGCAGCGACGCUUAUGCGUUGUUGGGUAGGGGAGCGUUCUGUAAGCCUGUGAAGGUGGCCUGUGAGGGUUGCUGGAGGUAUCAGAAGUGCGAAUGCUGACAUAAGUAACGAUAAAGCGGGUGAAAAGCCCGCUCGCCGGAAGACCAAGGGUUCCUGUCCAACGUUAAUCGGGGCAGGGUGAGUCGACCCCUAAGGCGAGGCCGAAAGGCGUAGUCGAUGGGAAACGGGUUAAUAUUCCCGUACUUGGUGUUACUGCGAAGGGGGGACGGAGAAGGCUAUGUUGGCCGGGCGACGGUUGUCCCGGUUUAAGCGUGUAGGUGUGUGUUCCAGGUAAAUCCGGUUCACUUUAACACUGAGGCGUGACGACGAGGCACUACGGUGCUGAAGCAACAAAUGCCCUGCUUCCAGGAAAAGCCUCUAAGCAUCAGGUAACAUCAAAUCGUACCCCAAACCGACACAGGUGGUCAGGUAGAGAAUACCAAGGCGCUUGAGAGAACUCGGGUGAAGGAACUAGGCAAAAUGGUGCCGUAACUUCGGGAGAAGGCACGCUGACACGUAGGUGAAGUGAUUUACUCAUGGAGCUGAAGUCAGUCGAAGAUACCAGCUGGCUGCAACUGUUUAUUAAAAACACAGCACUGUGCAAACACGAAAGUGGACGUAUACGGUGUGACGCCUGCCCGGUGCCGGAAGGUUAAUUGAUGGGGUCAGCGCAAGCGAAGCUCCUGAUCGAAGCCCCGGUAAACGGCGGCCGUAACUAUAACGGUCCUAAGGUAGCGAAAUUCCUUGUCGGGUAAGUUCCGACCUGCACGAAUGGCGUAAUGAUGGCCAGGCUGUCUCCACCCGAGACUCAGUGAAAUUGAACUCGCUGUGAAGAUGCAGUGUACCCGCGGCAAGACGGAAAGACCCCGUGAACCUUUACUAUAGCUUGACACUGAACAUUGAGCCUUGAUGUGUAGGAUAGGUGGGAGGCUUUGAAGUGUGGACGCCAGUCUGCAUGGAGCCGACCUUGAAAUACCACCCUUUAAUGUUUGAUGUUCUAACGUGGACCCGUAAUCCGGGUUGCGGACAGUGUCUGGUGGGUAGUUUGACUGGGGCGGUCUCCUCCUAAAGAGUAACGGAGGAGCACGAAGGUUGGCUAAUCCUGGUCGGACAUCAGGAGGUUAGUGCAAUGGCAUAAGCCAGCUUGACUGCGAGCGUGACGGCGCGAGCAGGUGCGAAAGCAGGUCAUAGUGAUCCGGUGGUUCUGAAUGGAAGGGCCAUCGCUCAACGGAUAAAAGGUACUCCGGGGAUAACAGGCUGAUACCGCCCAAGAGUUCAUAUCGACGGCGGUGUUUGGCACCUCGAUGUCGGCUCAUCACAUCCUGGGGCUGAAGUAGGUCCCAAGGGUAUGGCUGUUCGCCAUUUAAAGUGGUACGCGAGCUGGGUUUAGAACGUCGUGAGACAGUUCGGUCCCUAUCUGCCGUGGGCGCUGGAGAACUGAGGGGGGCUGCUCCUAGUACGAGAGGACCGGAGUGGACGCAUCACUGGUGUUCGGGUUGUCAUGCCAAUGGCACUGCCCGGUAGCUAAAUGCGGAAGAGAUAAGUGCUGAAAGCAUCUAAGCACGAAACUUGCCCCGAGAUGAGUUCUCCCUGAGACUUAGAGUCUCCUGAAGGAACGUUGAAGACGACGACGUUGAUAGGCCGGGUGUGUAAGCGCAGCGAUGCGUUGAGCUAACCGGUACUAAUGAACCGUGAGGCUUAACC
rnacentral:rRNA from 1 species